rnacentral:rRNA from 1 species
UGCGAGCCAUAUGUUCUUCGUGAACAUGGCGUACUGCUCAGUAACACGUGGAUAACCUGCCCUUGGGACCGGGAUAACCCCGGGAAACUGGGGAUAAUACCGGAUAACGCAUAUCUGCUGGAAUGCUUUAUGCGUAAAAUGGAUUUGUCUGCCCAAGGAUGGGUCUGCGGCCUAUCAGGUAGUAGUGGGUGUAAUGUACCUACUAGCCUACGACGGGUACGGGUUGUGAGAGCAAGAGCCCGGAGAUGGAUUCUGAGACAUGAAUCCAGGCCCUACGGGGCGCAGCAGGCGCGAAAACUUUACAAUGCGGGAAACCGUGAUAAGGGGACACCGAGUGCCAGCAUCAUAUGUUGGCUGUCCAGAUGUGUAAAAUACAUCUGUUAGCAAGGGCCGGGCAAGACCGGUGCCAGCCGCCGCGGUAACACCGGCGGCCCGAGUGGUGAUCGUGAUUAUUGGGUCUAAAGGGUCCGUAGCCGGUUUGGUCAGUCCUCCGGGAAAUCUGACGGCUCAACCGUUAGGCUUUCGGUGGAUACUGCCAGACUUGGAACCGGGAGAGGUAAGAGGUACUACAGGGGUAGGAGUGAAAUCUUGUAAUCCCUGUGAGACCACCUGUGGCGAA